rnacentral:lncRNA from 1 species
ACCAAAAUCAGGAACAAGGAAAGAAUGUCCCCUCCCACCACUGUUUUUCAAUAUCACACUGAAAUUCCUCACUAACACAAUAAGAAAAUGAAAUAAAAGGUAUCUGGAGUGAAAGAAAGAAAACUGUAUUUUUUUAAUGAAUGACAUGACUGUCUACAUAGAAAACCUGUAAGAAAUGACCAAAAAACUCCUAAAACUAAAAAAAUAUAUAGAAAGGUUACAGGAUAAAAGGUUACUAUAUAAGUCAGUUUAUUUCCUAUGUAUCAACAAUAAUUUGAAAUUACAACAUGAUGCCACUUACAUUGGCACCAAACAAUGAAAUACUUAGGAUAAAUCUAAAUGAUAUAUAAGAUCUAUAUGAGGAAGAGUACAGAACUCUGACAAAAGAAAUUUAAAAAGAACUUAAAAAUAGAUAUUCUAUGUUCCUCAAUAGGAAGAGUCAGUGUUGUUCCAUGUCAGUUCUUCACCAUUUGGCCUACAAAUUCAAUGCAAUCUCAGUCAAAACCCCAGCCAGGUGUUUUGCAGACAUGGAUCAACUGAUUUUAAAACUUACAUGGAAAGGCACAAAGUCAGAAGAGCCAGCCCAGUACUGAAGCAUAACAAAGGGCUGGAGACCCGACCCCGUCCAACUUGAAGACUGACUAAUGAGGUAUCUUAAUAAGACAGCGAGGAACUAGUGAGAGAAUGGAUAAACAGUCCAGGGGAACAGAAGACAAGUACAUAGAAAGACUCACAUAAAAGUCAGCUGCUCUGCCAGAUGUGUUCCCAGCAACUAGAAGGCUGAGGUAAGAGGAUCAGAAAUUUGAGGCCAGUCUCAACUUAGCAAGGCCCUAAGCAACUUAGAGAGAUCUCAUCUCAAAAUGAAAAUUUAAAAAAGGGGCUGGGGAUGCGACUCAGUAGUUAAGCACCUUUGGGCCCAAUCCCCAGUACCAGAAAAAAAAAAAAAAGUCAAACUAUCUUUGAAAAAGCAGUAAAGACAAUGGAGCUACAAGAACUUUUUCAACAGAACUGAACAUCUGGAUAUCUGCACACCAAACAAAGUAAGAGAAAUCUCACAGCCUUCACGUAAAUUAACUGAACAUGUACCGCAGACUAAAUGCCAAAUGUAAAAUGAUAGAAUUCCUAGAAGAUAACACAGGAGAAAAUAUGGAUGACUUUGGGUUUGUUUACUUUUUUUAGAGAGCAUCAAAAAUGAAAUCCAUGAUAACUAGCUAAAUUUACUUAAAAUGCAAAAUUUCUGCUCUGUGAAGGACACUGUGCUAAGAAUGAAAGGCCACAGACCAAAAGAUUUGCAAAAGAAACAUCUGAUAAAGAACUGUUAUGUGUAACAUCAAAAGGUGUCUUAAAUAUACAAGAAUUCUUAAAAAUCAAGAAGAAAUCAACCAACAUAAUUUAAAAAUAAGUCAAAGAUGGAAACAUUAAAGAUAUGAAGAUGGAAAAUAAACACAUGAAAAGAUGCUCUAUAUCAUGUCAUUAGGGAAAUGCAAAUCAAAACAAGACACUUCUACAUGGAACAGAUGCCACUAUGUGCUGAUGAAAUGUGGAGUAGCAGAGGACUCUCUGCUGGUGGGAAUAAACAGUGAAACAGCACCACGGAAGGCAGUCUGGCCGUUUUCUACAAAGCCAAACACCCUUGUCAUAUGACCCAAUAGUACAGAUCUUUAGUACUGACCCAAAGACAUCAAAAACCUGCCACACAAAACCCUGGACAUGGACGUUUAUAGCAGCUACAGUUAAAACUGCAAAAACUUGGAAGCCACCAAGAGAUCCUUAAGGAGAUGAAUAUAUAAAUAAAAUAUUGCUGCACAUUGAAUGAUUCCUAUUAUAUGGUAUUUUGAAAAAACAAAAUUAUGGAAAUGGUAAAAAGAUCAGUGAUCUUUAGGGGCUGGAAACGGAAAGGAUGAAUAGAGGACUUUAACAGCAAAGGAAAUACUCUGCAUGGUGCCCUCAUGAUGAAUACAUGUUACUCUGCAUUUGUCCAGUCUGUUAUGUGUAACACCAAGAGUAAACACAAGAUAAACUUAGUGACUAUGGGCGAUUAUGAUGUGCAGGCAUAAAUUUAAUGGCAAUAAUCGUACCACUCUGGUGAGAAAUACUGAUAAUAAGGGAGAGCAUGCAUUAUGGUUUAGCUGUUAGGUGUCCACCAAAAGUUCAUGUGUGAGACAAUGCAAAAAAAUUCAGACAUGAAGUGAGUGGGUCAUAAGUUUUAACCAAAUCAUAAUCCCCUGACAGGGAUUCAUUGGGUGAUAACUGUAGGCAGGUAGGGUAUGGCCGGAGGUAGUUCACUGGGGCAUGCCUUUGAGGUUUGUAUUUUGACCCUGGUGAGUGAGCACUCUGUCUGCUUCCUGGCAUGUCCUGGGCCACUUUCCUCCUCCACUCCUCUGCCACAAUGUUCUGCCUUACCCUGGGCCCAACGCAAUGGAGCCAGCUAUCUACGGACUGAGACCUUUGAAACUGUGAUGCUUAAAUAAACUUUUCCUCCUCUAAAACUGUUACUGUCAGCAAUGAAAAGCUGACUAAAACAGUAUUCGUGUGCAACAACAGGAGUAUUUGGGAAAUCUCUGUACUUUGCUGUCAAUUUUACUAUAAGCUUAAAAGUGCUCUAAAAACAAAAACCGACUUUAAUAAAAAUAUUUAAGUAAAAAGAUAAAUCUCCUCAUGAUAGUAUUUCUUUUACAUAAUCCUACCAUUUAUGUUCCACCUCAGCAACUGGCACUUCCACACUUUCAUUUAUUAAUGCCAAAAAUGUUGAGGUCAUUCCUGAUUGCUCUCUUACCAUAUCCAGCAGAAAAUCAUCCCUGUUGACAAGAGACUGAGAAACUCCACUCCGCCCCCCACUUCAGAUUCACAGGUAUGUAGGCUCC